rnacentral:rRNA from 1 species
GGUUAAGCGACUAAGCGUACACGGUGGAUGCCCUGGCAGUCAGAGGCGAUGAAGGGCGUGCUAAUCUGCGAUAAGCGCCGGUAAGGUGAUAUGAACCGUUAUAACCGGCGAUACCCGAAUGGGGAAACCCAGUGUGAUUCGUCACACUAUCAUUAACUGAAUCCAUAGGUUAAUGAGGCGAACCGGGGGAACUGAAACAUCUAAGUACCCCGAGGAAAAGAAAUCAACCGAGAUUCCCCCAGUAGCGGCGAGCGAACGGGGAGGAGCCCAGAGCCUGAAUCAGCAUGUGUGUUAGUGGAAGCGUCUGGAAAGGUGCGCGAUACAGGGUGACAGCCCCGUACACAAAAGCGCAUGUGCUGUGAGCUCGAUGAGUAGGGCGGGACACGUGGUAUCCUGUCUGAAUAUGGGGGGACCAUCCUCCAAGGCUAAAUACUCCUGACUGACCGAUAGUGAACCAGUACCGUGAGGGAAAGGCGAAAAGAACCCCGGCGAGGGGAGUGAAAAAGAACCUGAAACCGUGUACGUACAAGCAGUGGGAGCACAGGUUUACCUGUGUGACUGCGUACCUUUUGUAUAAUGGGUCAGCGACUUAUAUUCUGUAGCAAGGUUAACCGUAUAGGGGAGCCGUAGGGAAACCGAGUCUUAACCGGGCGUUAAGUUGCAGGGUAUAGACCCGAAACCCGGUGAUCUAGCCAUGGGCAGGUUGAAGGUUGGGUAACACUAACUGGAGGACCGAACCGACUAAUGUUGAAAAAUUAGCGGAUGACCUGUGGCUGGGGGUGAAAGGCCAAUCAAACCGGGAGAUAGCUGGUUCUCCCCGAAAGCUAUUUAGGUAGCGCCUCGUGAAUUCAUCUCCGGGGGUAGAGCACUGUUUCGGCUAGGGGGCCAUCCCGGCUUACCAACCCGAUGCAAACUGCGAAUACCGGAGAAUGUUAUCACGGGAGACACACGGCGGGUGCUAACGUCCGUCGUGAAGAGGGAAACAACCCAGACCGCCAGCUAAGGUCCCAAAGUCAUGGUUAAGUGGGAAACGAUGUGGGAAGGCCCAGACAGCCAGGAUGUUGGCUUAGAAGCAGCCAUCAUUUAAAGAAAGCGUAAUAGCUCACUGGUCGAGUCGGCCUGCGCGGAAGAUGUAACGGGGCUAAACCAUGCACCGAAGCUGCGGCAGCGACGCUGAUGCGUUGUUGGGUAGGGGAGCGUUCUGUAAGCCUGCGAAGGUGACCUGUGAGGGUUGCUGGAGGUAUCAGAAGUGCGAAUGCUGACAUAAGUAACGAUAAAGCGGGUGAAAAGCCCGCUCGCCGGAAGACCAAGGGUUCCUGUCCAACGUUAAUCGGGGCAGGGUGAGUCGACCCCUAAGGCGAGGCCGAAAGGCGUAGUCGAUGGGAAACGGGUUAAUAUUCCCGUACUUGGUGUUACUGCGAAGGGGGGACGGAGAAGGCUAUGUUGGCCGGGCGACGGUUGUCCCGGUUUAAGCGUGUAGGUGUGUGUUCCAGGUAAAUCCGGUUCACUUUAACACUGAGGCGUGACGACGAGGCACUACGGUGCUGAAGCAACAAAUGCCCUGCUUCCAGGAAAAGCCUCUAAGCAUCAGGUAACACGAAAUCGUACCCCAAACCGACACAGGUGGUCAGGUAGAGAAUACCAAGGCGCUUGAGAGAACUCGGGUGAAGGAACUAGGCAAAAUGGUGCCGUAACUUCGGGAGAAGGCACGCUGACACGUAGGUGAAGUGAUUUACUCAUGGAGCUGAAGUCAGUCGAAGAUACCAGCUGGCUGCAACUGUUUAUUAAAAACACAGCACUGUGCAAACACGAAAGUGGACGUAUACGGUGUGACGCCUGCCCGGUGCCGGAAGGUUAAUUGAUGGGGUCAGCGCAAGCGAAGCUCCUGAUCGAAGCCCCGGUAAACGGCGGCCGUAACUAUAACGGUCCUAAGGUAGCGAAAUUCCUUGUCGGGUAAGUUCCGACCUGCACGAAUGGCGUAAUGAUGGCCAGGCUGUCUCCACCCGAGACUCAGUGAAAUUGAACUCGCUGUGAAGAUGCAGUGUACCCGCGGCAAGACGGAAAGACCCCGUGAACCUUUACUAUAGCUUGACACUGAACAUUGAGCCUUGAUGUGUAGGAUAGGUGGGAGGCUUUGAAGUGUGGACGCCAGUCUGCAUGGAGCCGACCUUGAAAUACCACCCUUUAAUGUUUGAUGUUCUAACGUGGACCCGUAAUCCGGGUUGCGGACAGUGUCUGGUGGGUAGUUUGACUGGGGCGGUCUCCUCCUAAAGAGUAACGGAGGAGCACGAAGGUUGGCUAAUCCUGGUCGGACAUCAGGAGGUUAGUGCAAUGGCAUAAGCCAGCUUGACUGCGAGCGUGACGGCGCGAGCAGGUGCGAAAGCAGGUCAUAGUGAUCCGGUGGUUCUGAAUGGAAGGGCCAUCGCUCAACGGAUAAAAGGUACUCCGGGGAUAACAGGCUGAUACCGCCCAAGAGUUCAUAUCGACGGCGGUGUUUGGCACCUCGAUGUCGGCUCAUCACAUCCUGGGGCUGAAGUAGGUCCCAAGGGUAUGGCUGUUCGCCAUUUAAAGUGGUACGCGAGCUGGGUUUAGAACGUCGUGAGACAGUUCGGUCCCUAUCUGCCGUGGGCGCUGGAGAACUGAGGGGGGCUGCUCCUAGUACGAGAGGACCGGAGUGGACGCAUCACUGGUGUUCGGGUUGUCAUGCCAAUGGCACUGCCCGGUAGCUAAAUGCGGAAGAGAUAAGUGCUGAAAGCAUCUAAGCACGAAACUUGCCCCGAGAUGAGUUCUCCCUGAGACUUAGAGUCUCCUGAAGGAACGUUGAAGACGACGACGUUGAUAGGCCGGGUGUGUAAGCGCAGCGAUGCGUUGAGCUAACCGGUACUAAUGAACCGUGAGGCUUAACCUU